rnacentral:lncRNA from 1 species
UUGUACCAGAUUUGUUUCUAAGGGAAAAUAUUCAGGAAUAAUGAGAACAGUCAUAUAAAAUGACAGGGUAGUACUGGGAACCAGAGAAACUAUAAAUUGGCACAGUCCACAAAUCACAAUGUAUUUUGGAAAGGUGAUAUAUAAAGACAAAUAAGAAAAGGCAAUCGAGGUUGCCACCCUAAUUGACAAUCACAAACAUGUGAUGGCUGCAUUGGCUUAUCACAAGAAGGAAGACUUUUUUUUUGUCAUGGCCACUAACGAAGCUUGCCCUAGGUCCAAGUCGCCGAUGCCACAUGUUGAGAUCGAGGGGCCACCUUUAUUUAUGUAGAAAAGCGAAUAUAGAUCUUUCGAACAACUAGAUCUCCCGAUGAUUCCCUUGGUGGCUAGAUCAUUCACAAAACAAACAUAUGGAUCAAAUUCAAUAGAACAAGAAUUGCCCCGAGUAAAAUUGCAUAUGGGUAUGAAGUCAUUAACAAUCAAGAGUAAAACAUCAAACAUUGUUGAGAGAAAGGGGGAGUAUGACCGAGAUGAGUAUAACUAGUAGGAAUAAUGGUGAUCCAGGAACCAUCACUAACAACUAAACUACGACAAGCGUGCAUUGAAGAGAAAAGAUACUAGUUGAGAUUACCUCUGCAACCCGUCACAUGCGAUUAGCGGCAUAGUCCAUGUACUAGUCAUUGUCGGAGGAGGGGUGGAGCUUGUGUUGCCGGGCGCCCUGUCGAUCACGGAGAACUGGUCCCGCGAAAGAGGCGACGGCAUAAAGAUGGAUGCCAUGGAGUUGAGCAACGAGUAUCCCUGAGUUGGAGCAGAUGGGCGUGGGUUGAGGACGCCGCGGGCGUUUUGAGGGGCCCGCUGAGUGUGCGGCGGCUGCCUCAGCAACGGGAAGGGCGCCCCCCAUGGCGCAAAGUAGCCCAUCCAGGGUCGUUGUUGCGGUUGUGCCGACUGUCCAGGCCAGGUGUUAGAAAAAGCGUUGCGAUCGCCUUGAUUCCCAUUGUUGCUUCUACCGGGGGUGGAGUUGGAGCCGGUGUUGGUGCCAAUGGUGAUGGUGGAGGAUCCCUUGGCCCUGUCACAUGCAUUAAGAUUGAUUUCUUCCAGCAACAACAUGGAACGGGCCUGGAUAAAGGUAGGAAAAGGCCUGUGCAUGGGAAGAGUAGUUGCCAGCACAUGGAAGCGGUUGUUGAGUCCUCGGAUCAUUUGCAAUGUCCACAUAUCAUCGCUAACUGGUUCACUUGCGUCGAGGGCAUCGGCGAGGGCCUUAAUCCGAUUGCAGUAGGCGGCCACCGUCAUGUCUCCUUGCUCGGUGGCGCUUAACUCUUCGCGGAUGUGGAUGGCCCAUCCGGGCUGGUUGUCCCGGAAGAAGGUGUACAACUUGUCCCAAACGGUAUACGCGGUGUUCUCCGGCUCCCUCACCACUUGAUAGAGCUCGUCGCAAAUGGUAGCAUAGAACCACAACACAAUGGUCAGAUCGUCGUUGCGCCACUUGGCAUCUUGAAGACGGGGAUCAGACUCGUGGUCGACAUGGUGGGCGCAGUCGUAUUUGGCGAGGAUAGCGUAGAACUUCCGCGUCCACUCAGCGUAGUUGUUUGCGGCGAGAUCUAACUUGAAAUUGAUGAAGUGGGUAAUAUCGAUGCGGUGCAUAGGAGGCUCAGGACGGGUAGAGGGGAGGACAGGCUUGGCCUUCUUGGUGCUGCCGAGGGGAAAGAAAUGACGAAAGGAGGAGGACGUGGCCAGAAGGGUGGGGGCGCUGAAUGAAGGAGAGAUGUUGCUCAUGGUGAAGAGGAGAAGAUGGUUGUGAUACCAAGAACGAUUGUGACUUGUGAGUAUAAUCUCGAAGAUGUCUUGUGUUCACUCGCUGCCCUGUUUAUAUACACAUCACAAGGGGUAGAACCAUAGGAGAGAGAUUUAUUACAACAACAGUAAAAGUAUACCAGAAUUUGGCUGGUGGGGAGCUUGGGACAAAAUGAUGGACGAGACGCAUGGUAGUACUCCUACCCGUAGUACUGCGUAGUGGGUAGCGGAUCUGAUCGAUGCAGGAGGCGAAUUGUCACCGUGAUUCCACGAUUAGUGAGAUCACAUCACAGUCUGAUCGAUUGACGCGUACGAUGACACUGUGACAUGACGGGUAAUUCGAUCGGUGACGGUAAGUGAUGAGCUAGAGUGAGGUUUUCAUCUCCAGUUACGAUUAGCUUUUGCAAUGAUCAGAACGCCACGUCGGUGUGUGCGGGGCAGCCGUGCAUAGCUGGCCUUUUGCUACCGGCGUUGCCGUGUACACUUGUGACCGACCGGCUUCGGCUUUCGGCGGGCCAGUUUGUGCGUGCAUGCCGGCCGCGCCGCAUGCCUGUGCGGACGUGCACGCGAUGGCUAAACUUUUUGGUUUGGAGUGGUAGGUGGUGACCACGAGACAAAACUUGUUGGAACGAGGCACACGGAUGGCUAAUACAGUGUCGUGCAGUUCUUACUGUGGGAAACUUAUGCCGCACUGCACCACCACCCACCACCGAUAUUAGCCAUUCAUGCGACUGAUUCCAACGAGUUUUGUCCCGUGGCCACCAUUCACCAACCCAAACCAAAAGUUUCAGCCAUGGCGUGCACGUCCGCACAGGCAUGCGGCGCGGCAUGCAUGCAUGCACAAACUGUUCCGCCGAAAGACGAAGCCGGCCACGAGUGUACACGGCAAGGCACGCACCGGUAACGAAAGACGAGCCACGGACGGCUGGCGCGCACGCACCGACGUGGCGAUCUGAUCACUGCAAAGCUAAUCGUAACUGAAGAGGAAAGCCUCACUCUAUCUCAUCAGUUACCGUCCAAUCGACCACCAGAGACAAGUGAUGACCCGUAGGCACGCAUAUCCAGGCCAGGAUCAGAUAGCAAAGCCAAUUCAAAAGCGCGAGCCGAUGACGCAGCGGCUAGGGCCGGACAAGCGCGGCGGUUCAGGGUUCAGGGUUCAGACAAGGUUAGUAUAGCUGUUCGUGCAGUCGUGCACACCACCGCCCUCGAUCUGCAAACACAAAUUCAAAACACGGCGGUUCGGCGUGUGGAGUUACCUUCGCCGCUUCCGUGCUCAUGCAUGCAGGAGGACCUAUCUGUCGUCUAUCUGCAUGCUUCCAAACCAAAGCUUGAACUCCCUCGCUGAAAAGGCAAAAGAGCAAAAAGACAGGGCUUCAACUACCUGCGCGACAAAGUUGGUUGGCCUGGCCGGGGAGAUAGAUUUGUUCGGGCGCAGGAAGCUUCGGUGCACCUUCCCGCCGCCACCUGAGUGUCUCGCACGCGCCCUUUGCCUGGCUUGUGGUUAACGAGAACCGCAACCAAGAU